AGGAUGAACGCUGGCGGCGUGCCUAACACAUGCAAGUCGAACGUCCUGUCUCGCAAGAGGCAGGGAGUGGCGGACGGGUGAGUACCACGUGGGUCAUCUACCGUGAGGUGAGGAAUACCGGCGAGAAAUCGCCGACAAGACCGCAUAGGCUCGAUGCAAGUCGAGCAAAGCUCUUUCGAGAGAGGGAGCGCCACACGAGGAGCCUGCGCCCGAUUAGCUAGCUGGUGGAGUAACGGUUCACCAGGGCGACGAUCGGUAGCUGGUCUGAGAGGACGAUCAGCCACACUGGGAUUGAGAACGGCCCAGACUCCUACGGGGGGCAGCAGUGAGGAAUUUUCGUCAAUGGGGGCAACCCUGAACGAGCAACGCCGCGUGCAGGAAGAAGGUUUCGGAUCGUAAACUGCUUUUCUCGGGAAGAGAACGGACGGUACCCGAGGAAUCAGCCCGGCUAACUACGUGCCAGCAGCCGCGGU
rnacentral:rRNA from 1 species